GGGGGCGAAAAGGCUUCGACGGGAGUGGACAGCGCCCUGUGAGACGAGCCGAGCUUGCCGGAAGCUCGUAAAACCCCGGCGACAUAAACACACACGCCAACGAUAGAGAGAUGGCGCUCGCUGCCUAAAACCAUUUUGGCAGCGCAUCGGCCCGGAUGGCCCGCGAUCCGGUGUCCGGUGUCAGAGUAGCGGGCUCACCUCCGGGACUGUGGCCCCAGGCCCGGGGGGACAUCUGAGGGGCUAGCCCGGCUGUGGGGCCCCGGUCCGCAGCCGGUAGCGAAGACAAACCGGGUGCAACGCUCGUACAAUCUCACGGGUGGCGCACUCGCGGACGCGGGUUCGAUUCCCGCCGCCUCCACUC
rnacentral:tmRNA from 1 species